rnacentral:lncRNA from 1 species
AUCUUUGCAGGAUCUGAAAUGUACUCAGACUGGUGUGAGUAGUGAGGAUGGAGAAGUCCACAGCAGCAUACUGGAAAUGGUCCAGUCAGUGCCAUGGAUGAGACGCUCCAUCACUCCACCUCUUACUGCCUCAUCUGGGCCAGAUGUUGCUGUGGUCUCUUCAUCCUCAGUGAACCCAGAGCCAGCUGGAGCAUCUAGAGAAACACCAAAAGACACUGAGGAUGGACCUACAAUCCCCUGGAACGACCUGGAUUGCUCAAGGACAUACUGGUGGUUUUGAACCAGCAACCUUCUGCUCACCAGUUCAGUGGUUUAGCCCACUACAAAAGUAGUCGUGCUCAUGGAAAGCAGCACACAAAUGUUUGGAGCAGACACAGUGGCAGCCAGAUUGUCCCACAUGUGUUCCCCUGCUCUUGCUUCUAGGUUGUGUGGUUCAGAGAGCCGUCAUCAUGGUCUUCCUCAUCCUCUUGCUCAACGAUGUCCCCAUUGAGAAGAGCGAGAUUGUGAAGCAAAGCGCAGCAGCAGAACUGUCUCAGCUGUGUUGAGAUGGCAGUAGGAUCUGGGAUUCACCAUCUGUAAAUACAUGAUUGUUAGAACAAUAAGUUUGAAUUAAGCUUUGUUUCAUCUGUUGUUGACUUAUAUAUGUAUGUAUUUAUUGUGAUGCUUGCUUUUCAUUCCUUUACUCAUUUAUUCAUGUUUCUUGUUGUUGUCAGUAAAUAAAAUAUUAAUAUUUUAUUAAUUCAUGUAUUAAUUGCUUGAUUGAAAAUUGAUGUA